UGGAGCGUUCUAAAUUUCCAGAGAAUUCCAUGAGAUUUGGAGGGGCAACUGAUGCUAAUUCAAAUGUUCAUGGAAUGGUAACUGCUUCUACAGAUAAAAUUGGCCGAAUAACUCCUAAAAGUGGAAGGAAUAUCCAAAAUCCUGCUUCUAGGAUCAUUGGUUUUGAAUCAUGGGGUGCAAGUUCUUUAAAUAAUGGAAUUGAGGGAUUUUCUGCUGAUCAUCUUAAUUCUUCUUCUGUGGCUGGCCUCACAGUGAGUGACGUUGAGCUGGCUGGGCCUCUUGUCAGGAAAAGGUUACUGUCGCCUUUAAACAGCAUGCUUUCUGCAGAACACUUUUAUGGGGAUAAUCUGGAUAUUGGCUGCAAUGCUUCUCAGAUGAGUUCCUCUGCUCUGACCAAUAAUUUAAAUGUUUCUGCUUCACACGACUAUAAGAAAGCAAAUGUUGGUAGCAAAAUCAAUUUCACCACAUCAUCUUGGUCCUUAUCCAGUUGUUUGGAUAAAAGAAACAUGCUAUGUGACAAUAGCACAGUAGCAUCUAUUUUUCUCACUGAUGGCCCUCUGCUGGAAAACAAGGACCCACUUUCUAACAGUACCCUCUUAUACUCUCCUACACUUGAUCAUUUCAAAGAAUCAAGUGAAGGACGAUCCCAGAGUAGGGCAAUAUCCUUAUCCCCUAAAAAGGCCAUUUCAUCUCCUCUAUCAUUGUCACCUCUAGGUCC
rnacentral:misc_RNA from 1 species